rnacentral:lncRNA from 1 species
CAUCUGCGGAGCGGAGGAGCUGCGUCCGAGGAAUUGUCCCCCCCCCCGAGAAAGGGACGUUUUUCUUUCUUUGCUCAGAAAAAAAAAAAAAAAAAAAAAAAAACAGGGGGGAAGGAAACCGUUAAAAGAAGCAGUGAGAUGCAGAGGUGUGAAUGUUUGUGUGUGUGUGUGAGUGUGUGUGUGUGUGUGUGCUUGGGUUGUAAAGUAGCUUGAUAAAUGCAGAACAUCUUCAUGUGAGCAAGGACAAAUAAAAGAGGGGAAAGGACCAAGGUCGGGGCAACUGGGAACGAUAAACCCUGGGAGCGGCAAAAAGUAGGGUAUUCAAGUGUGUGCGGCCAAGAAAGUACGCGCUCGAGCUGUACACACACACACACACACACACGCACACACGCACACACGCAUACGCGCGCGCGCGCCCGCGCGCCACGCUCGAGCCGUCCUGCUGCGCGUUACGGGCGACCUGCAGCGCUGCGUCUCCUCCGCGCGUCGCAAACAUUCGGGGAUUCGAGUAAAACACGAGCAUCCGUGGGAGGCGAACCCGCUGCCCGACGAUCGCACCGCACCGCACGGCCAGCUCAGGAUGUGCGGUAUGGACAUGGACCCGGAGGACAGCGGUGCCGAUGGAGAGGAGAAGGACCAGGAGGAGUACGGCGUGGGGGAACGUGUGCGAAUGCUGCCGCCGCCCCUUGCUCACAGCGAUGCGACUGCUUGGGGGCCGCGCCGGGGGCCCGUCGGGUGCCUCGCCUGGGGGUUCGGGCUGGCCCUGUGGAACGUCGGCGUGGCUGUAGCCUGUGUGCUCGUCCUGGCUGCUGUGUUCGCCCUGGUUCUUCUGCCUUCCACGCUGCUGCUGUACGCCGGCUUCCUCUGCCACUCCCGUGUCCUGAACUCGCCAGCCACUUUCUGCCAGUAUGUUGACGACAACACUUGCUCUGCGCUCAUAAUUCUGGGGUUCGUGAUGAUGUCGCCGCUGGUGGUGGUCGCCGCAGCAACGUUCUGUGGUGUGGCGCGUAGGCUUCACCUCUUUCUGCUUUUUCAACCUAUUGCACGCGCUCGGUACCGUUCGGAGGUGUGGACCUGGCGCGGGAGCGUCCGAGCCUGGGUCUAGUGGGGCGAGCAUCGGAUACCGGGGGCCAUGCCUCUUAUGGUUAGGAGAGCCACGGUGACACCUGCUGUGUUAUUUUAUCCCAGCUUAAACACUUUAGUGACCUUACUGUUGGAUGCAAUGAGCUCAGAUGACCAAGGUGUGCUUAAGAUGUUUGAAGAUUUUACAUCACGAUUUUGGGAGUAAACCCACAGCUGAGUGUUUCGAUACAAGAGGUACUCGCCUGUUUUGGGCCUGUCAAGAAAUGUUUAAUCCUGUGGCUAUAAAUGUGUCGUUCAGAUAUUUUCUUCUACGUACUUUUGAAUGUUACUUGGCCGACGGGAUGGUAAAAAAAGUUUUGACACGUGCCCAGAACUGCAGCAGUACCGCUCUCAGUUACGGCAUCUCCGUGUCAUUAUGUGUGAAGUCAUCGCCUUAGCGUAGAUUUAAAGCAGUGAGAGUUAUUAGACUAGAAAUCAUUGUCGGAGAAUGGAGGUGUUAUGUUUCUGAAAGCAAAAAGCAGUAGAAUCACUUGGAAUUUAUGAGUCCUUAAAUAGCCAGUCUUCUUGUGAACUUUCCAGAUGAUGUCAAUUAGCCUCGGUCAGCAGUUCGUCGACAGAACAUUACAGGCUCGCAGUGAUUCAGAACGGCAAACUGCAUUUUAAUUAUCCUUUUUCUGCAGUCCGGAAUGACCCUGAAACGCUCUUCAGCGCGUUGAGGUUAAGCUCUGCUCAUGAUGCUUCUGUUGUCAGAGAAACAGAUGCUGGAGGAAGGAAGAUGUAUGUGAAAAAGUGAUUCAUUUCCUUCUUCUCCAUUGUACCAAUGACUGUACCAUCCAAUAGAUAGAAUGCCCCCCCCCCCCACCCCGAGUAACUUUUCACUGUACAGCCCUUGAUCUGCUGGUGUACCAGUGCAUUUGUUACUAUGGUUAUCAAUAAAAUGAGGCUUUUGAAGAGUUUGCUUCA